rnacentral:rRNA from 1 species
UACAGAGGGUGCGAGCGUUAAUCGGAAUUACUGGGCGUAAAGCGUGCGUAGACGGUUGUCUAAGUCGGAUGUGAAAUCCCCGGGCUCAACCUGGGAAUUGCAUUCGAGACUGAACAGCUAGGGUGCGGAAGAGGGAAGCGGAAUUUCCGGUGUAGCAGUGAAAUGCGUAGAUAUCGGAAGGAACACCAGUGGCGAAGGCGGCUUCCUGGACUAAUACUGACGCUGAGGUGCGAAAGCGUGGGGAGCAAACAGG